AACCAUCUUCGAUCCCCUAUAAGUACCCGACUCCUUCACUGCCGACUUCACACCCACCGUAAUCACCUCUCGUUCACACCUCUUCACUGCCUUCUUCUUCUUUCGCCGGAGCUAGCCGGAGAAGACAACCGGAAUAACGCCAUCCGUUUCGAAGCACCAUAAACCCACCGAACGGCCACCGUUCUCUACUUUGCUUUCCUGUUUUAAACCGUCGCCGGGAACACCUCCUCGCCGGAACUCCGCCGCCGGAGCACCUCCGCGUCACCACCAUUCGCCGCCGUCGAACCGCCGGGUAAAUCUCUUGUGCAACGACACUUGGAACAAUCCUCAUACUCUCUUUCCAAGAAAUACGCAACGCACUCCAAGGUGAGUAUACAUGACCCAUUUUCGUUGAAAGUACAAGAUUCAAGAAUCAAGUUAGGAUGAACACUAGAAACCCACAUAACAUU
rnacentral:lncRNA from 1 species